CCUGGUCGAUCGUAAACAAAAGUCAUGAAAGUUACAUAUGGAACUCCUGAAGUUCAGCAAGAAAGGGAACGUUUUGGGAAAGAACGUUGAAACCUGACGCCACAUUGUCUUCAUAUAUCAUCUCAAUAAAGUAAACUAUGGCGACAGGCGUCCAACAUGACCUGAUGAAGCAGGCACAGUGCUUUUGGUCAAUGCUGGAUGAGCUUGCAGAGACCGAUGAAGAUGCAUACAGGAAGUUCAUGGCCACAAACCUCCAAAGAGGACAGCAAGAAUUGACACCGGCCAAGCCAUGGAUGUGUGUCAAGACCCGUAUCAUGGUUGUUGACAAGAACAGAAAUGGCAGAGUUUGGCAGCGACACGACUACAAAUACGCUGUCUGCAACUGGAAGUGGUGGAUAUGAUCUGGAUGAUAUUUACAAAAUCGCUGGAAUGGUUGGAGGAAUUGGCGGCUUUCUGGUGGCACUGUUGACAAUUGGUUUUGUAAUAUAUCAAUACAUUGAGAAACGUCGCAGUCAACG